AGAAUGAACGCUAGCGAUAUGCUUAACACAUGCAAGUUGAACGUUGUUUUCGAAUCAGAAUGAGAACAAAGUAGCGAACGGGUGCGUAACACGUGGGAAUCUGCCGAACAGUUUGGGCCAAAUCCCGAAUGAAUAAAAGCUAAAAAGCGCUGUUUGAUGAGCCCACGUAGUAUUAGGUAGUUGGUUAGGUAAAAGCUGACCAAGCCUACGAUGCUUAGCUGGUCUUUUCGGAUGAUCAGCCACACUGGGACUGAGACACGGCCCAGACUCCUACGGGAGGCAGCAGUGGGGAAUCUUGGACAAUGGGCGAAAGCCUGAUCCGGCAAUAUGGCGUGAGUGAAGAAGGGCAACGCAGCUUGUAAAGCUCUUUCAUCGAGUGUGCGAUUGUGACAAGACUCGAAUAAGAAGCCCGGCUAACUCCGCGCCAGCAGCCGC
rnacentral:rRNA from 1 species